UGGUUUCAGCUUCCUAAAAUAGACCUUCCAUCCAUGAAUGCCACUUUGGGGAACCCACAGGCUAAAACCUCGAUUGAUCUCCAUUAACUUGCGAUAUAUUCAUAAUUGCCAUCUGAAGUCUUCUUCUGCGAGGGAAAAAAUAUCGGUUGCUUAAUUGUUGAAGUCAAAUUCUCCUCCUUUUGACCACAUUCAAUGAAAUUAAACUCUCCAACUUUUGCAGUUUUGCUCACAUAUUGGAUUUGAU
rnacentral:lncRNA from 1 species